UACAGAGGGUGCGAGCGUUAAUCGGAAUCACUGGGCGUAAAGGGCGAGUAGGCGGAAAAACACGUUAGAUGUGAAAGCUACGGGCUUAACCUGUAAACUGCGUUUAAUACGGUUUUUCUUGAGAUCACUAGAGGGGAGUGGAAUUUCCGGUGGAGCGGUGAAAUGCGUAGAUAUCGGAAGGAACAUCAAUGGCGAAGGCAGCUCCCUGGGGUGAAUCUGACGCUGAGGAGCGAAGGCGUGGGUAGCAAACAGG
rnacentral:rRNA from 1 species